rnacentral:rRNA from 1 species
UACGUAGGGUGCAAGCGUUGCCCGGAUUUAUUGGGCGUAAAGGGCGCGUAGGCGGCUCGGCACGUCCGUUGUGAAAUCGCCCGGCUCAACUGGGCGGGGUCGGCGGAUACGGCCGAGCUGGAGCAAGCUAGGGGGUAAUGGAAUUCCCGGUGUAGUGGUGGAAUGCGUAGAUAUCGGGAGGAACACCAGUGGCGAAGGCGGUUACCUGGAGCUUUGCUGGACGCUG